rnacentral:lncRNA from 11 species
GCAUGCGCGUCCGCCAUUAACGAAUUACUUUUGAAACUAACGAAUUUUUGUUAAUUUCGAAUUUUUGGGGGGGCAAAAUUCGGAAAUGACAUCAGAAACGAAACGCUACCCCCCUCUACUUUUGAAACGAGUUUAGAAUCAAUUUUUUCGUGGAUCGCUCAAGCCUAAUAGUCACCACAAUAAGAGGAAAAGGUUAUAAUGUAAUGAUACUUUUAUUAGGGAUUAAUUACAAUGUUUAGAGUUAGGGAGGGAAGCAAAAGAAGAGAUCCAGACACCUUGAAAGCUGCUGCUGAGGCACACAUUUCAUUGUUGGCUGGCUCAUCAGGGCUUUUCUGGAUCUGUGGAACUCCCUGCUGCAGGUCAGAUCAUAUUAAACGCAGGGAGUCUCUGGUUCGACCUCACCUUGACCAUUUUAGUCGCCCUCCUCUGGACACUUUACAACUUAAGAGUCAAUAUCUCUUUUAAGCUGUGGUGCCCAGAACUGGACACAAUAUUGAGGUCAAACGAAAGCAGAAUAGAGAGGCACUAGGAUUUCCCUCAAUCUAGACAAAAAAUCCCAUUGGCUUUCUUAGCUGCUGCAUCACAUUUUUGGCUCAUGUCCAGCUUGAAAACCACAGUGCCCCCUGAAUUGAUCUUAAACACCUUAAUCUUUAAAAGGCUGCCUGAAUAAAAGGUUUUUAGCCUGAACUGCCUUUGUGGUGCUGCCCCUUGGCUGUCCUCUCCCCACUCCCCUCUUUGGCCACACCAUCUGUCCUUCAUCCAUCACCCUCUUGUUUUCAGCAGAGAGGCAGAGGGGAGAGUGACCGGGGAGCUGAGCCAUGGCCCUGUCGGAGGACGCCAUCGAGAUGCCCGCCUUGGGCCGCCCCUUCCAGCUGGGGAUGCUCUACGACUGCCGCAAGGACACCCUCAUCUCAGGGAUCACCCUUUGGGACCUGGACUCCCUUAAGAAGAAUGUGAGCAUCAGACCUCAGCCGAAAACGGAAUUCAAGAUCAUUGCAUCUGACUCCGUUGAUGACAAGGCCUCUGCCCUCAGUGUCUCCGCCUCCCUCAAGGCCAGUUUCUUGGUAGGACUGGUUAAAGUGGAAGGAUCUUCCAAGAUACCAAGACCUCCAAGCAGCAGGCCAGAGUCACCUUGCAGUACAAAGCCACCACCAGGUAUGAGCAGCUGACCAUGAGCCACCUGGGAGGCCAAAACAUCUCUUACCCAAGUAUCUUUGAGCAAGGGACCGCCACCCACGUUGUCACUGCCAUCUUGUAUGGAGCCCAGGCUUUCUUUGUCUUUGACCGAGAAGUUUCCUCUUCCAAGGAUGUGCAAGAGAUAGAGGGAAAUCUCCAGGCUCAGAUUAAAAAGGCAAUAUCCAUCAGUGGAAAUGCAGACUUGAAGAUGAAAAGUGAGGAAAAAU